rnacentral:rRNA from 1 species
UACGUAGGGUGCAAGCGUUAAUCGGAAUUACUGGGCGUAAAGCGUGCGCAGGCGGUUCGGCAAGAAAGAUGUGAAAUCCCAGGGCUCAACCUUGGAACUGCAUUUUUAACUACCGGGCUAGAGUGUGUCAGAGGGAGGUGGAAUUCCGCGUGUAGCAGUGAAAUGCGUAGAUAUGCGGAGGAACACCGAUGGCGAAGGCAGCCUCCUGGGAUAACACUGACGCUCAGGCACGAAAGCGUGGGGAGCAAACAGG